rnacentral:rRNA from 1 species
UACGGAGGGUGCGAGCGUUGUCCGGAAUCACUGGGCGUAAAGGGCGCGUAGGCGGCCGUGUAAGUCACCUGCGAAAUCCCGGGGCUCAACUCCGGGGCUGCAGGUGAGACUGCGUGGCUAGAGCACGGUAGAGGCGAGUGGAAUUCCUGGUGUAGCGGUGAAAUGCGCAGAUAUCAGGAAGAACACCCGUGGCGAAGGCGGCUCUCUGGAACGCAACUGACGCUGAGACGCGAAAGCGUGGGGAGCAAACAGG